AAUCAAUAGUCCUGAGAAUGACUGCACGUGUAAGGAUUGUGAUAUUCCUCACCUUUUUAUAUGUUCCUGUAGAAACUCCAUCAGUCAAUGAAGAAUUCACCAUUACUUGUGAAAGUCCCAAAGAAGUCAUAUGCCAAAAGGAAUGUGGUUGGACUAAAGCCUUUUCAGRAGUCAAGGCUAAAUGUACAAAGCAAGCAAAAGGCAAAGAAUUUCAGUGCCUAGAGGUAGACAGCUCCACCAACAACAUUGCAUUAUGUUCCUCAAAUAAAGAGUGUGGAUUCAAUGAUAUGUUUGAAGGGCAAGAUUAUGUGAGAUGCAAUAUUCUGAAUAAUGUGGUAUCUGGAGAGGGCGGAAAAACUAAACAAAUUCACGAAAUACAAAACCAUUCGGAACAAAUCAAAUUUCACAUAUUGAUCAUGGCCAUACCAGUAUUAGGCCUAUUCAUUGUAUGAUUGGUGUGCUGCUAUACCAGAAGAUGGAAAGAUUGACAUCCUCAAACAUCUAAGGAUUAUUCACUAGUAACUUAAUAGAACCAAAUGGAAGCAUGGAAACCAUGGCAGGCAGCAGAAAACAUAUUGUCUGGGACGACAAGCCUUUCCGUUGUAUGUGACGACUGAAAGAAGGAAAAAAUCCCACUUAACAUGCAGAAGAUGACACAACAAUAAGAUACAACCUUUUAAUAAAUUCAGAAUUUGGA